rnacentral:rRNA from 1 species
CUGGGAUUAGAUACCCUGUUAUUUAAAAUGUAAUUUGUUUAUUAAGGUAGUAAUAGUUAUGUUCUUGAAACUUAAAAAAUUUGGCGGUAUUUUAGUCUAUUCAGAGGAACCUGUUCUGUAAUCGAUAAUCCACGUUGGACCUUACUUAAAUUUGUUUUCAAUUUAUAUACCGUUGUUAUUAAAAUAUUUUUUGAAAAUAAUAAUAUUUAAUAAUUUUAAUAAAAAUUUAUAUCAAAUCAAGGUGUAGUUUAUAUUUAAGUAGAAAUGGGUUACAAUAAAAAUAUUUUUGGAUAUAAAUAUGAAAAUAUUAUUGAAAUUGGAUUUGAUAGUAAAAUUAUAAAGAUUAAUAAUUUGAUUUUAGCUCUAAAAUAUGUACAAAUCGCCCGUC